rnacentral:lncRNA from 1 species
ACUUAUUACAAACAUGUACAACAUAUUGGUAUCUUUUUUUUUUCAAUGCAAAAAAAAUGAGUUCAAUGCAAAUUAUUGUGAAUGUUUUUUGAUUGUAUGCUUUAUAAAUACUAUUAUUUCAGAUAAAAAUGUAUGUGUUAUAUUGAAACCUCUUUUUUGUUAGUUUUGAGGUAAUAUGUCUUUAAGGUCAAUAUUUUAAGUUCUAAAGGAUUUGUAAGAAAUCUGCCAGGCAUAUAUGCUAUAAAUGUUUUGGUGUUAAUUGAUGAAUUGGUCAUUCUGGAACUAACCCUAAUAAAUGACUUGAUGAUGAAGUGUUCCGAUUGUAAAAACAUAGUAUCGUGCGUAAUGGAGGCACAUUAAUGUUCAGGAUUUAAAAAUGUUAGUCAAACUUGAUUGCCUGAAAUGGCUUUAAAAUACUUCCAUAUACAUGUAUGAUGCUGUUUUUAAUUAAUUUUUAUGAGUUUGAGAUUAUUUUUUCAAAUACUGUCUUCAUGAAUUAUAUGGUGCUUGAAUGCAAUCUUCUUUGUUAUGUAGAGUUAUGUGUGUAUGUGAUAAUAGAUUUUCAGCAGUAUUAUGUUAAUAUAUUAAAUCACAGCAGGUCACUCAGUUGUACCUAGAGAAUUUUUGUGUGAACUAUUUAGAUAAGAAUAUUUCUCAUGCAAUAACAAUAAUUGGCAAAAAAAUAUAUGUUUUUGUUCAGAUAUCAAAAAACAAAAAUACUUAAAUAUUGUAUUAUUUUUUUUAGUGAAUUUCUCUUUCAUCAGUUAACCUUGUGAUCAAAGCAGAAGUUUGAUUGAAGUUAACAUAGAACGUGCAUAAAAGUAUGUUGCAAGGAAUUUUGUUCCCGAGAUCUUCAUAUUUGUAUACCUGUAAGUGGAAGAAAUUAGUGUCAUGCAUAUAUUUCCAAGCAGGUUUAAAAUAUUCUGACCUGAAAAAGAGGAAAUUGUUAUAUUUUUAGAGAGAAAAUUGUUCAAGGUUUUAUUUUAAAAAGUUUGAAAUAGCUUGUAAUACAUUAACAUCAGUUUUAUAUGCCUUACUGUUAUUGCACUUCCAGUACAGCAAGCAGUAUACUUAUGCUUACUGUAGCGCACAGGUAUGGUACCAAAGUUAUCCUGCAAUAGGCCCAGGGGGCAAACACAUAGGAAACCAAAUCUUUGACUCAAAGUAGGGGGUAUUGGGAGAUUUGGUGGGGGUAGGGGGGUGCUUAUUACAGGACAGUGACAUAUUUUUAUUGGCAUUUCAACUGAAAUGCAAUAGAUAUGGGUUUGCUUAUUACCGGAGAUGGGCUUAUUGCAGGAUAAAUACGGUAGUACACAUAUAAUUGGUACACACUUUAGGAUGUGUGAAGUGGUACAUGUAUCUUUAUAAUUUUGCAUGAGAAUAUCAUUUGUAAUUACUCAUUGUGUUUAUACUGUUAUGUUUAUAUUAUAUUGCUCAAUACUCUUGCUCCUAUUGGCCAACUUUCCUACUAUUACACGACCUCACACCUUUUAUUUCAGUGGUUGAAAGUACUCGAUAGCAAUAUUGUAUGUUUUGGAGAUGGGUCUUUUUUGCGAAUAAUAUUUUUGACUUGAUAGAUAGAAAACGUUUUGACUAAGAUCCCUUUUUAAUGUCCAGUUAUGAAAAAAAUGUUUAAAGGCAGAUGUUCUAACCACCUUGACAAAAUCACCAUUCUUGUUCUGUCUUGUAGAGAAUAAUCUUAUAAUGAUUUGGUUAAAACAAGAUCCUUAUUAACUAGAUACUGUACCAAACACAGCUAAGUGGGGUCUGGCUUUUAUCACAUUGAUCUUGUAUUGAUGAAUGCUCAGGUGCUUUUUAGAACUCAAUCAUUUUUUUGCAAAUAAGAAUCUUUAACUCAAAUAAUUUCAUUUUAUUCAACAAUUGAAAAGGCACUUGUUGCUCAAAAUGAUUUAGAUUAUUGUGUUUCUGUUGUAUUGAAGAGUUUUGAAUUAUAUGAAUUAUGAAUAUGCCUGUCUGUUACAAGUAUGUGUACAUCAAAAUGUCAAAAUUGGUUUUAUACAAAUCAUUCUUUUGAUUGAUCAUGUGAAAAUAUGUCACAUUUAGACUGAUGACUGAUCCAAAAUGGACUUGAGGAGUGUCAUGUUUACCAUACAAUAUGUAGGUGUCAGGGUGCUUCUUUUUCUUUAUAUUUUAUUCUUGUUUAUUAUUAAGAUAUUAAUGCAACUAUAACAAAUCUGUGUUUGAACAAUGUACCGUGGCUGUCAUUUAUACACUAGGGUAUUGUCAUGUUACUGACUCUUGUGAGGUAACACUGAUAUGGUUUGUAAGUCCUGUAAACCUGCUUAACUCUGACUUGUCAGCUCUGGGGAGAGUUUUCGGACCUUCCCUUCGUUACUGGAGUCUAAUGACCCUCUCUUAUGAAUAUGUAUAAACAAUCAUCACAAUUUGUGUGGUAAAUAUAGGUGUCUUUACCUGGCCAAUAUUUUAGAUCCAGCAUUAAAUCACAGUUUCAUGGAUGUUUCAGUUGUUUAGGGAAAUUAAUAAUAAAUUGUUAAGGACAAUGAAGCUUUGGAAAAAAAUCACAUGUUCAAGUUAGAGUCCGAGUCAAAGUUAGGAUGGGUAUUUGACUCAUCAGAGUCUGACUUAUGAUGCUUAUAAUGAUAUUUGACUCAACAGAGCGAAGUAGGACAAGUGUUUGACUCAACAGAGCAAAGUAGGACAAGUGUUUGAUGCAAUAGAGCAAAGUAGGACAAGUAUUUGACUCAACAGAGCGAAGUAGGACAAGUAUUUGACUCAACAGAGCCAAGAAGGACAAGUGUUUGACUCAACAGAGCGAAGAAGGACAAGUGUUUGAUGCAAUAGAGCAAAGUAGGACAAGUAUUUGACUCAACAGAACCAAGUAGGACAAGUAUUUGACUCAACAGAGCGAAGUAAGACAAGUGUUUGACUCAACAGAACCAAGUAGGACAAGUAUUUGACUCAACAGAGCAAAGUAGGACAAGUAUUUGACUCAACAGAGCGAAGUAAGACAAGUGUUUGACUCAACAGAGCGAAGUAAAACAAGUAUUUGACUCGACAGAGCGAAGUAGUCUAAUUAAAGAGGAUUAUUUGACUCAUCAAAGUCUGACUUGGGAAAGGUAUUUGAUUCUUCCAAGCAAGGAGGGGUAUUCCACUAAUCCAAGUCCAACUUAAAAGAGAUGUUUGACUUGUCAGGUUAGGUGGGGUAUUUGGAGUGAGGUUUUUCAGGUUAGGAGGGGUAUUUGGAGUGAGGUUUGUCAGGUUAGGAGGGAUAUUUGGAGUGAGGUUUGUCAGGUUAGGACAAUUAGGAGUGAGGUUUGUCAGGUUAGGAGGGGUAUUUGAAGUAAGGUUUGUCAGGUUAGGAGGGGUAUUUGGAGUGAGGUUUGUCAGGUUAGGACGGGUAUUUGGAGUGAGGAAAGGCAUUCAACUCCCCUGAGUCCGAGUUAAGUAGGCUUGCUGGUCAUUGUUUUAGCGUUGUUCAUCAUUGUAAAUGUCUCGUAUAUUAUAUACACACACCAGUAUUAUCAUUCAUUGUAUAUACACAGUACAAGUAUGCAAAUUAUUGUUUAAAGACACUUCCAGACAAAAUCAUGUAUGAUAUUCCUUGAGCCAGAGUUGAUGUAUAGUGUUCAUUUGAUCGUGUUGGAGCAGUAUUGAUGCCUGUGACUUGCCCUUUGUUCGUGCCAGAACUGUGUAUAAAUGUCAAACUUUAUACCUUGUUAUUUAUUCCCUGGCCAAAAUGCAUCCAAGUUGUCUUUUUACUGUCAGUGGUGUAACUGGUAUACAGAUGAUUGGUCUGGCUCCAUAGUUGCUUAAAUUUAAGUAUAAUAACAAACAGAUACAUAUUAGAAUUUUAUUACAUGUAUAGGGGAUGUAUGAUAUUAAUUUUACUGGAUAUCUUCAGAGAUUAACACCUGUGCGAGAAAGGUGUUAUUAGAAAUAGAAACACUGAUAGUAUCAACAUGAUAAAAUCAUAAAAAAACAACAGUUCCCUGGUAAAGUAUCCCAAAAACUAUAAAUGUGAAUUAUAUAUAAAUUCAUGUAGAUCAAAUGUGCGAGGAGUGCUGCAUGGUCUGUAGGUUCAGUGUAAUAUUUAUAGGUUCAGUGUAAUAUUUAUAGGUUCAGUGUAAAAUGUACAGGUUCAGUGUAAUAUCUGUAAGUUUAUGGCUACAUGUAUAUCUGUAUGCUACUUUACUGCAUCUCUUAUCCAAAAGAUGGCUAAAUGGUGGUAACUCCGACACAUACAAAUUAAAAUUGUAGGGUAGCAGAUAAAAUCUGUAAUAUUUAUGUUAAUGUAUUAUGGUCAUUGUGUUGAUGGUAGAUUUGUUUUUAUGGGGGGUGGGGGGAGUGUCCAUGCUUUAAUGGUUGGUGUAGGGAUGGGACAGUACUGUGGGGGUAUUAUAAUACUUGUUACCCCGGAUGUUGACGUUAUAUAACUGUGAUGUAUAACUAACUGGUUGUGUUAUGUGUUAUCGUUUCUGUACAUGUAUCAUAACAUACAAAUUAUCACUGAUGAGGAGAUUUGUUCUCUCUUUUUUAAGGAGAAGUCAUUGAAUCAAGGAUGCAUUAAAAAGUGCAUGACUUUAUAUUGAGUUUGACAGUUAACAUUCUUCAAUGAUAAGUUACCGGUGUAUACAAGUAAUGUAUGUUGUUAAAUGUUUAUAUAUGUUACUCACAUACCGUAAGUAUAUUGUUGUAAUUACUAUAUAUAGCCCUCAUAUUAGAUCAUAUACAUUAAGUUGUAAUUGUUUUUGUCACUUUUGUAUCUUGGCUUCCUAAACCACUAAUAAUAUGGCACUCAUGAUCAAUCCAAAACUAUCUUCCAUGGCGAGAGCUUCCUUAUCCUAAAUUUUAUGUAAAUGAACCUGAUGAGAUUCAUUUCUCUGUAAGAAAUAAACCACAAUACUUUAUAAAUACCAGUAUCAGAAAAUAACCAACAAUACCAGUGGAACAGGUGACAAAAUUGCAUGCAUGUUUUUUUUUAAACAGUGUAUGAAAUUAUAACCUAAGGAAUACAGUAGGUUUGACCUACUUUCCAACAAAUACAACUGGUUUGACUUGUUUUCUGAGGAAAACAGUAGGUUUGACCUACUUUCCAACAAAUACAACAGGUUUGACUUGUUUCCUGAGGGAUACAGUAGGUUUGACCUACUUUCCAACAAAUACAACAGGUUUGACUUGUUUCCUGAGGAAUACAGUAAGUUUGACCUAAUUUCAAACAAAUACAACUGGUUUGACUUGUUUCCUGAGGAAUACAGUAGGCUUUACCUACUUUCAAACAAAUACAACAGGUUCGACUUGUUUCCUGAGGAAUACAGUAGGUUUGACCUACUUUCCAACAAAUAUAACAGGUUUGUCUUGUUUCCUGAGGAAUACAGUAGGUUUGACCUACUUUCCAACAAAUAUAACAGGUUUGUCUUGUUUCCUGAGGAAUACAGUAGGUUUGACCUACUUUCCAACAAAUACAACAGGUUUGACUCGUUUCCUGAGGAAUACAGUAAGUUUGACCUUCUUUCCAACAAAUACAACAGGUUUGACUUGUUUCCUGAGGAAUACAGUAGGUCAAACCUACUUUCCAACAAAUACAACAGGUUUGACUUAUCUCCUGAGGAAUAAAGUAGGUCCUCUGCUUUAGUUGCAGGUAAUGAUGGAAUGGUAAUUGGUUUCUAUAAUAAUACAGGUGAAAGGCAGGAGAUCCACAGGGUGUCCAUCACCUGUUAUAAAGCUGCAUCUAAGGCUAUAAAGCUACCUAAUGGUGCAAUAAAAAAAGAAAUCUUUCGUUACUGUGUUAUAAAUGUAAAUGCUUGGUGCUUUCUGUAAAUAUCUAGUCAAACAAUGCAAGCAGUGCUCAAAAGAUUUUGUGACUGUUUGUGACUUCUUUCGGUUUCUGUCCUACAUUUACUGCCAGUUCAUAGUCAAGUAAGUUUAAGGAUAAAAUCUGUUAGUUUUACCACUAGUGUUUCCAAGACUUUUUUGUCAGAAUGGACAGAAUUUUGGUUAACAAAGGUUAAUUUAAUAUAGAUUAUAGAGUAUGACUUUAUCAGUUGAACAUUAUGUUUACCUACUGUUUUCAGCUGUGGGAACUGCAGCUCCAGGUCCAAUUGAUUUUAUUUUAUUUCAAAAUUUUUGAUGGUCCGAUAUCGGAUCUAAAAUUUCAAAAUUGACGUUGAGCUACGGUUCCUGCUGGGAUACCGUUUUGUGCUCUGUUGGGGUCGAACUUUGGUAAUGUUGCAUGCAAGCUCUAGUGUACAUCCGAUUUUAUUAUGUUUUUCACACAAAUAGUUUACAGAAUUCAUUGAUAUGUUCAGACUGAUGUUCAGACUGUGGAAAUGGGUAAAAUGAUAUAUAAAACCCUUGCGAAAAGUAACUACUGUACUAAGAAGUUCCUGGUUUCACUGGCUGAGUUUACACAGGGCACACUGUAUGUAUUACACACCAUUAUUAUGUAAGUUUUAACAUAGUUAGGAUUUUAAAUAAGCUUUUUCACAGCUGCCUCUAGUUACUUGGUAUUUAAAUUCCGAAAGUUGGUUUUAUCUUGCCAUUUUACAUCCAUACAGUAGAAAAAUUGUUGCUUGUUUUUAGGAAAUCAUUUAGUUUUAGUUUUUAUGCUACCUUGUAUCCAAUUCGUUUACUUUGGAAUGUUUUUAGUUUAUAAAAUGUCAUGAAAUAUUUAUUUUUGAAUCCAGACUUAUGUUCCUUUUAAAAUAUCAAAGGAUUGAUGUUGAAACAAUGAGUGUAAAAAAUCAAGGAAAUUUUGUAUCUACCAGCAAUUUAGAAAUUCAAUCCAAAAAAAUAAUGUUUAUAAAGUGACAUUAAGUUGAUUCUGUUAUGAAAUUGUAUAAACAUGUACAGUCACUAUAAACACCCUCACUACAGAAACUGGUUGAUUACCUCGAGCUCUGAAAGUCAUAUAUUUUUACCUCAAGUGUAGCCUUACUUUUAUCAUAAUAUACAAUUGUAAUAGAAGAUAUUGUUUUAAGAGUUUUGUUUUUGCAGGUCCUACAUGUAAUCAAAGCUUUUUUUUUGCCAUCUUAUAAGAUUUUGUAUAUGAUUUUAAUGCUCACUGUUCUAGUUUGUAGUAUUUUCCUUUGUAUACUCAUGUAUUUUUACAUCUGCGUUAUAGCUUUGUCAUUUAUAUUCGAUAAAAUAUUUCAUGAAAAUGGACAAAUGUAACUGACAACGUACAUAAUUAUACCCAGGAAUACGUACCAUCUAACCGUGCUAUGACUUAAGGCAACAUUUGAAAGUUGUCCAUAUUUGAUUAUUUAAGUAUACAUACCUUUUUUGGCAAUGGGAAAAAUGUAAUGUUCUAAUUUAUAAACUUACCAUAAGUAUAUAGGAAUGUAAUAUUUUGUAGCCAUUGAUAUACUAGUAACAUAAGUAAACCAUCGUAAUAUUCCUGUAUAAAAAUAACUAUUUUCAUAAGUAUAUAGUAUUUUAGAUAAUGUCAGACUCUAACUGCGAGUAACUGGUGAUUUUCAGACAUGAAAUAAAAAUAUAACCUAGAAAAUAUGUGUAACUGUAUAUGUAAUGGUGUAAAACCUCACAAUUCUGUUUAAAUAACCUUUGAAGUCAAUGUUCCUUUUCAUUUAUUUGAGUAACUUAGAAAUUUUAUUUUAUCUGGACUAUUGUCUUAUACAACACAGGGUGGAAUAAUUAACAGGGCAAACUUGCUACUCAAGUAUUGGUGAAAAGAUUUAAACCUAAUAUGGUACAAGCAUUCUAUGGUUAUAAGGUUUGACAAAAAAAUUAACUUCUGUGUUGUGAUUUUUUUGUUGAUUUGAAACUAAAGAUGGCCACUUGUCUUUUGAUUGAUAAAGAUUUUUGAAAAAUUCCAAAGUCCCACCUGGCCAAUUUUAACCAAAAUUGGUAUAAAAAUUCAUCUCAUUGCCCAGACUUAGUGUUGUUAUUUGUACUUAUUUGGAUCAUUGUAACACAUGUAAGAUGGCUACCAUGAAAUCAGUGUGUCAUUUUAAAUUUCUUAACAAAAAAGCAGGUAAGCAAUAUACCAGUAGUCUGUGUAUACUGUUGUAUACCUUAAGUAUAGACCUGUAGGACUAAAGGAACAUUUAAGGUAUUUUUAUUACUGUACAGGACCAGUAACUGAAAAAUGCUGAAUUAAAUAGAAAGAUCAUCAUAUCAUAAACAGAACAGUUGUGCUGAGAUGAGAACAAGCACUUGUUGUUAGAUAUUCCGACAGCAGAGAUGAUACAGGUACAACAGAGAUGUGUUCUAGGUCAGUUUGAGGUGCCUUUACACCAUUCUAUACUUGAGGUUACGAUAAUAUCAAUAAAGUCUGUUUCACCCUAAA